UACAUGGGGUGCAAACGUUGCUCGGAAUUAUUGGGCGUAAAGCGCACGUAGGCGGUUUGUUAAGUCGGAUGUGAAAUCCCUCGGCUCAACUGAGGAAGUGCAUCCGAAACUGGCAGGCUUGAGUACUAAAGAGGGUCGCGGAAUUCCCGGUGUAGAGGUGAAAUUCGUAGAUAUCGGGAGGAACACCUAUGGCGAAGGCAGCUCGCUGGGACGUUACGUGACGCUGAGACGGCGAAAGCGUGGGGAGCAAACAGGGAU
rnacentral:rRNA from 1 species